GCCCAUUGUUGAGGUUCUGAAUCUCACAGCUGGAGGCAAUUGAAAGUUGGAUGUGUGAUUCUUAUACAUGGAUCCAGAUCACAACCUUCUUACAUGGGGAAUUGAGACAAAUUACUGGGCCCAGCACCUAGCAGAUGUUACUGUCUGUUUUGCCUGGAUCUUGCCUACAGAAGGGAUUGUGACAAAUCAGUGGGCCAAGCAUCCAGGUGAUAUGGCUUUUCUGUCUUAGCAGUGCCUAUAUAUAGCUGGGAUUGUGACAUACACCUGGGCCAAACAUCUGGGGUAAUUUGUGACAUACUGCUGGACCCAGCACCCAGAUCAUUUGACUCUCCUGCCUUGGUCCUGCCCACAGAGGGCAUUGUGACAUGUGAGUGGGCUCAGCAGCCAGAUGAUGUCACCUUCCUGCCAGGACUCUUCCAACAGAAGGGGCAUUGACCUACUCAGGCUCAGUAUUCAGGUGCUGUCUGAGGUUUGGCUGUCAUGCGUGGAUUCAAGUUGCUGUUGAAAUUGUGAUGUGCAGCUGGGCAUGGUGGCUCAUGCUUGUAAUCCCAGCACUUUGGGAGGCCAAGGCAGGUGGAUCACCUGAGGUCAGAAGUUCAAGACCAGCCUGGCCAACAUGGCAAAACCUCGUCUCUACUAAAAAUGCAAAAAUUAUCUGGGUGUGGUGGCACACACCUGUAAUCCCAGCUG
rnacentral:lncRNA from 1 species